AUUGAACGCUGGCGGCAUGCCUUACACAUGGCAAGUCGAACGGCAGCACGGGUGCUUGCACCUGGUGGCGAGUGGCGAACGGGUGAGGUAAUAUAUCGGAACAUACCCCUAGAGUGGGGGGAUAACGUAGCGAAAGUUACGCUAAUACCGCAUACGAACUAAGGUUGAAAGUGGGGGGAUCGCAAGACCUCAUGCUCAUGGGAGUGGCCGGAUAUCUGAUUAGCUAGUUGGUGAGGGUAAAGGCUCACCAAGGC
rnacentral:rRNA from 1 species